UAAAAAAAGAAAGAGAGAAGGCCGA
rnacentral:piRNA from 1 species